UGGGGAAUUUUGGACAAUGGGCGAAAGCCUGAUCCAGCAAUGCCGCGUGUGUGAAGAAGGCCUUCGGGUUGUAAAGCACUUUUGUCCGGAAAGAAAUCCUUGGCUCUAAUACAGUCGGGGGAUGACGGUACCGGAAGAAUAAGCACCGGCUAACUACGUGCCAGCAGCCGCGGUAAUACGUAGGGUGCAAGCGUUAAUCGGAAUUACUGGGCGUAAAGCGUGCGCAGGCGGUUUGCUAAGACCGAUGUGAAAUCCCCGGGCUCAACCUGGGAACUGCAUUGGUGACUGGCAGGCUAGAGUAUGGCAGAGGGGGGUAGAAUUCCACGUGUAGCAGUGAAAUGCGUAGAGAUGUGGAGGAAUACCGAUGGCGAAGGCAGCCCCCUGGGUCAAUACUGACGCUCAUGCACGAAAGCGUGGGGAGCAAACAGGAUUAGAUACCCUGGUAGUCCACGCCCUAAACGAUGUCAACUAGUUGUUGGGGAUUCAUUUCCUUAGUAACGUAGCUAACGCGUGAAGUUGACCGCCUGGGGAGUACGGUCGCAAGAUUAAAACUUAAAUGAAUUGACGGGGUCAUAGCUG
rnacentral:rRNA from 1 species